UACGUAGGGGGCAAGCGUUGUCCGGAUUCAUUGGGCGUAAAGAGCGUGUAGGCGGCCAGGUAGGUCGGUUGUGAAACCUGGAGGCUCAACCUUCAGAGGUCGACCGAAACCAUCUGGCUAGAGUCCGGGAGAGGAGAGUGGAAUUCCUGGUGUAGCGGUGAAAUGCGCAGAUAUCAGGAAGAACACCCGUGGCGAAAGCGGCUCUCUGGAACGGUACUGACGCUGAGACGCGAAAGCGUGGGGAGCGAACAGG
rnacentral:rRNA from 1 species